CCUACGGGUGGCAGCAGUAGGGAAUAUUGCUCAAUGGGGGAAACCCUGAAGCAGCAACGCCGCGUGGGGGAUGAAGGUUUUCGGAUUGUAAACUCCUUUUGUUAGAGAAGAUAAUGACGGUAUCUAACGAAUAAGCACCGGCUAACUCCGUGCCAGCAGCCGCGGUAAUACGGAGGGUGCAAGCGUUACUCGGAUUCACUGGGCGUAAAGAGCGCGUAGGCGGGAUAGCAAGUCAGAUGUGAAAUGCUAUGGCUUAACCAUAGAACUGCAUUUGAAACUGUUAUUCUAGAGUAUGGGAGAGGUAGGUGGAAUUCUUGGUGUAGGGGUAAAAUGCGUAGAGAUCAAGAGGAACACUCAUGGCGAAGGCGGCCUGCUAGACCAUAACUGACGCUGAUGCGCGAAAGCGUGGGGAGCAAACAGGAUUAGAUACCCGAGUAGUC
rnacentral:rRNA from 1 species